GGUGCUGUGGGGUCCCUAGAGACCUGAAACUCACAGCCCAGUGGGGACAGCCCAAGGGCCCUUUUCUUUGGCUCCUGCUUCCCUCUAGAGGCGGACACUGUGCUGUACCAAAAAGACAUCCACGCCUCCCCUAUGACAACCGCAUGAUGCUCAAGGCGUGCAUCCUUAGGAGGCCAUGAGCAUUCUAGCCGGCGGCACCCACGUGGUCCCUGCGGCUGCACAGCUGCUGGGCUUCCAUGAGGAAGAGGGCAGUGGACAAGAGUCAUGAAGACUGAUUCAGAAACUCCCCUGCAGGAGGAGAAGACGUCUGAGCCAUCCCUGUGCCACCACCAAGAGUCACUCCAGCUUCUGAAAAAGCCACCGUGGGGGGGAGCCGCCUCCAAUUAAAGUCCUUGGUCACAUCA
rnacentral:lncRNA from 1 species